CAAGGCAGUGGAUUUGUGAAUCC
rnacentral:tRNA from 34 species